AUCCAGCUAACGAGUCCCAAGUAGGACGAAACGCGCAUCCUGGAU
rnacentral:hammerhead_ribozyme from 1 species